ACCCGGUUCGUCUAGUGGUUAGGACUUAAGACAUUUGAGUAGGGGGUAAAGAAUUUUAAUCUUAGAACACGGGUUCGAUUCCCGUACCGGGUA
rnacentral:tRNA from 2 species